rnacentral:rRNA from 1 species
AACGAACGCUGGCGGCAUGCCUAACACAUGCAAGUCGAACGAGACCUUCGGGUCUAGUGGCGCACGGGUGCGUAACGCGGGGGAACCUGCCCUUAGGUUCGGAAUAACUCCCCGAAAGGGGUGCUAAUACCGGAUAAUGUCUUCGGACCAAAGGUUUAUCGCCUUGGGAUGGGCCCGCGUUCGAUUAGCUAGUUGGUAGGGUAAAGGCCUACCCAGGCGACGAUCCAUAGCUGGUCUGAGAGGAUGAUCGGCCACACUGGGACUGAGACACGGCGCAGACUACUGCGGGAGGCAGCAGUGGGGAAUAUUGCACAAUGGGGGGAAGCCGGAUGCAGCGGCGCCGCGUGGAGGAAGAAGGUGUUCGGAUUGGAAACUCCGGUUGUUGGGGAAGAUGAUGACGGUGCCCAACAAGGAAGGGACGGCUCGCUACGUG